CUUCUUCUUAGGACCAGAUCCCAGAGAGUGAUCCACCUGAAGCUGGAGAGAUGGACACGUUACUGCUGAAGUCUUGAAGCCAUCAAUUCCGCCACUGCCUGCUCCCGCUUCUGAGCCACCUAGGAAGCGGACCCUGGAAGCAGGCAGGUCAAGCUUCUUGCGGAAGUUUACUCAGCAGCAUUCAUAAUGUCUGCUUCAAAAAAGGAGACCAGAAAAGGCUCCGUGCAGUAGGAUGCCCCUGAGAAGGAAGAGGGGGAAGAGUAUUUGCCCAGAAUGAGGAAGGGGCAGCCAGCAGAGAGGGAGCAGCAGGAGCAGAGACGUGGAGGCGGGGCAGUCCAGCAAGCGUGUGGGAAUGGUGAAUGCAGGUGGACAGCAGAAGGGUGUAGAAAGAGAAGUCGUGGCAAGGCAAGAAAGGUAGAAAAGGGCCAGAUCACAGAAGGCCUUGAAUGCCGAGCUAGAAUUGCUACGUUUGGGCUUUAUAGCUGUUGAGGCUUCAUUUGGACAAAUGACAGGUCCUGACCAGCUCCGUUCUCUCAGAGGAUUGAUUUGGAAUAAAAGAUGGUUUGGAAAAGGAAGAGACUGUCAAGGGAAAACUGGCAAGAAGGCACAAAAUAAAAACUACCGGAAGACAGUGGUCCAAAUUAAGUAAUGCUCUCUAGGAUUCGUUCCACAAAGUUCUCAGGCCUCGCACAUGAAGCUGUCAUGUGGAUUUGCACUCAAAUUAGACACGCACAGGUUUUUGGGUAAGCAUAUUCAUGUGUUUUUACAGAUAGUAACGUUUAUAGCUGUUAAAUAAUUCAUGCUGGCAUUGUUUUCCCUCUUGUGCUCUUAAAAAAGAUGCUGUUUACUGCACAGGCGCGGGCAGAAGGAAGUCAGCUACCCGCUUUGCCGUCCUUUUUACAACCUUGCUGUGCCACGUGGGGGGUGCCAGGCACCUCUCUGAAAAUGUUCUCUUCAGUGGAAUACAUGCUAAGCUUUUUCAAAAC